AGAAAAUCAGGUUGUCUUGAUAAUGACAUAUACAUAAGGGCUUACUGUGUUUUCAGCUACCACUAUGAAAGGAAGUGUCUCACCAUUUCCAGGCAUCUCAUUAUUUUCUUAGUCUCAAGAAGAUUCCAAAUGACCUUUAGAAACAUUCUGAAAAAUACUCCCUGAUGCAAACUUUAGAGAAAAAAAAUAAUGCCCUGAGCAAUCAGACACAGCCUGCUACUGUUUGCCAGCCAUUAAUAUGCCCUAAGGAUCUACAGUGGGAGGCAAAACCUAGAGGUUGUUUUUCCAAAUAUUUGCAGGGUGAAAGCUGUCCUAGUCCAGUGGGUAUGUUUGUGCAGCUGCCUUGGACAACAUCCCCUGAUGGGGCUCUGCUCUCUCCAAAUGAGUGGCUCCGGGGAGAAAGAGAAGCAUUAUAAAUGCAUUUGCUAAACUAUUAUAUUUUGUGGAGGCCAGAAGUGAGGUCACUGGAUCUGGUCACCAGAAGUGAUAUCACUGGAAGUAACACCAGAACCAGAAGUGACAACACUGGAUAUGAGAUCAGCCCA